UACGUAGGGCGCAAGCGUUGUCCGGAAUUAUUGGGCGUAAAGAGCUCGUAGGCGGCUUGUCGCGUCGUCCGUGAAAACCUGCGGCUCAACUGCAGGCUGGCGGUCGAUACGGGCAGGCUGGAGUUCGGUAGGGGAGACUGGAAUUCCUGGUGUGAGCGGUGAAAUGCGCAGAUAUCAGGAGGAACACCGGUGGCGAAGGCGGGUCUCUGGGCCGAGAUUGACGCUGAGAAGCGAAAGCAUGGGGAGCGAACAGG
rnacentral:rRNA from 1 species